AGAGAUGUAGCUCAGUGGUAAAGGUCUUGCUUAGAAUGCAUGAAGUCCUGGGUUCCACUCCCAGCACCACAA
rnacentral:tRNA from 1 species